GAUGAACGCUAGCGGCAGGCUUAAUACAUGCAAGUCGAGGGGCAGCAGGUCCCGCAGCAAUGCGGGAUGCUGGCGACCGGCAAACGGGUGCGGAACACGUACACAACCUUCCUUUAAGCGGGGAAUAGCCCGGGGAAACCCGGAUUAAUACCCCAUAGUAUAUUGAAAAGGCAUCUUUUUAAUAUUAAAGAUUUAUCACUUGAAGAUGGGUGUGCGGCUGAUUAGGUAGUUGGCGGAGUAACGGCCCACCAAGCCUACGAUCAGUAACUGGUGUGAGAGCACGACCAGUCACACGGGCACUGAGACACGGGCCCGACUCCGUACGGGAGCAGCAGUAAGGAAUAUUGGUCAAUGGACGAAAGUCUGAACCAGCCAUGCCGCGUGGAGGAUGAA
rnacentral:rRNA from 1 species